rnacentral:lncRNA from 1 species
CCGAAAGGCAAGGCGCCAAAGCCCCACAUCCCGUUCCACAUCGGCCCACACGGCCCCACACCCGGCCGCACAUCAUGGAAAAGCAAUGGAGAUGGUGCGCCACCAGCUCAACUCAGCAUAGUGGACUUAGUUGUCGCCGUGCUUGUUGACAGCCCAGUUGGCGGGUCGCGGGCGCAGGUAGGGCACACGCUGACGUGGAGGCGGCUGGGCGGUCCGAGAUUUGGGUGGGGUGCCUACACGUGCGGCACACCAGGGGAGGAGAGGACGGGUGGGCAGGGCAAAAGCUGUGGCAAGCCUUGUGCUGGUGCGGGUGCGGGCCAGUCCGCUAUCAGGCCUGGUAGCUGCCCACAGCAGCGGCGCAGCAGCCCCAUCCAGGCACGACAGUCAACUCACCCGUGGGCCUGGGCUUCGGUGUCGGCUUCGGUGGCGUGGGGCUGGGCGGAGGUGGAGAGGGCGGCUGGGGGCUGGGCGGAGGCGGAGAGAAUGGGCGGGGGCUGGGCGGGCGCGGGCUGGGCGGGCGGGGGCUGGGGGGCGGCGGGCUGGGUGGGAGGCCAGGCGGCGGCGAUGCCUCCAAAGCAACAGGUGGCGCACCUCCGGGAGGCUCGGCCGUGGGCGGGCUGUCGUAAUCGCUGCUGAAUGGCGGGGGCUGCAAGGCGACAGGGGUAAAGGACGGGUCAGUUGCUGCGACUUGGCGAGGAGCAGCAGCGAUGGCAGGCAAACACAGGUAGGGCGCCGCCCGGAGCGCCCCAAACAGAAUUGACGGAGCCAUGCUACAAUGCAGCCAAAACAACUUCAGGAACCAGUGGCGGCGUCGAAGUACAACUAGGAUGUGGAGUUGCUGCUGAACCUAGGCGCUGGUGGCGGGCGACCCUUCUUUAUCUGGCGCAAUGCAUAGGGGCCGAUUGAUUGUCCCCAAAUGUGAGACUAAGAGUACAGGAGCACCAUCCACAGCGAAGCUGCAGCAGAGCUAGCGCCAGCGGUUCAGACAGCUUUCAUUUCAAGGCACGGACGAUGCCACCAUUUGCUAUAACAUUAUAC